rnacentral:rRNA from 1 species
CAGCAGCCGCCGCGGUAAAACGGAGGGUGCAAGCGUUAAUCGGAAUUACUGGGCGUAAAGCGCACGCAGGCGGUUUGUUAAGUCAGAUGUGAAAUCCCCGAGCUCAACCUGGGAACUGCAUUUGUGACUGGCAAGCUAGAGUGUGGCAGAGGGGGGUGGAAUUCCGCGUGUAGCAGUGAAAUGCGUAGAUAUGCGGAGGAACACCGAUGGCGAAGGCAGCCACCUGGGCCAACACUGACGCUCAUGCACGAAAGCGUGGGGAGCAAACAGGAUUAGAUACCCCAGUAGUCCCUGUCUCUUAUAA